rnacentral:rRNA from 1 species
UACGAACUGUGCAAACGUUAUUCGGAAUCACUGGGCUUAAAGGGUGCGUAGGCGGCUAUCUAAGCAGGGUGUGAAAGCCCCCGGCUCAACCGGGGAAUUGCGUUCUGAACUGGAUGGCUGGAGUGAGAUAGGGGUGUGUGGAACUUCCGGUGGAGCGGUGAAAUGUGUUGAUAUCGGAAGGAACGCCGGUGGCGAAAGCGACACACUGGGUCUCAACUGACGCUGAAGCACGAAAGCCAGGGGAGCGAACGGG